UCUGGGUGUUGCGGUUGAUCG
rnacentral:siRNA from 1 species